CUCCAGAGCACAAUUUACUACCGGGCGCUCGUUAACUUCACCAACUCUCUGGUGUAUGGCCCGGAGCUCGAGGACAUCUAUUCCCCCGCCUUCAACGAGAUCUCCGAGGCCAUGGUGGACACGCUGGAGUCGGACUACAACCGGAUCCCCGGAGUGCAGACGGUCAGCGUGGUGCUCAUCAAGAAGAUGAUCAGAGAGGACCGGCGUGGACGUGUCGUUGGAGCUGGACGUGGGUCCCGACUAGCAACGUAACGACGGAAGGCAGAAUCCGCAGCGUCCUCGUACAACGUGGUGAAUGGAGGGCGCCAUCGCCUCCUACGUCACCGCUCAGUGCAGGGGCUUCCAGUUCAGACAGCUGGGGGAAGUACCCCCGCCAUCAAGACCCUGCAUGACAGAUGAACACAGGUGGUGGGACGGCAACCUGCAUCCCUGAUGGAAGUAUCUGUGUGACAAUCGGGCCAAAGACUGCAAGAGACAUGAGUGACUGAGAACAACUGUG